GGCUGAGAUUUGUGGGCAGCCUGAGGAUCUCCUGCAGUGCCACAGGAGCUCUUCUGUCCUGCCUUUCUUUGCAGCUGAACCUGCUGGUGAAGGUGGUGCAGCUUCCCAAGCCACGUCCAGGACUGAGGCUCUGGGAGAUGCUGAGGUGAUGGGCCAAACAUCUGUGCAGAAGGAGGCACAUCCUGGAGGAAGCAUUUCCCCAUGGGUAGCCCCUGCUGCAGGAAGGAAGGCGAUGCCAGACAUGGGCACAGGCACAGCAGAUGCAGCCAGCACCACAACACGUCUUCCCCAUGCCCAGGAAGGCCUCGGAAGUGUCUUCUAUAUGGGAACAGGCUGCUGGGCAGGGUUAAUGGCAGCCCUGCUUCUGUUGGACCUUAUUCUCAUAUUGUUCUGUGUCAGAAUCUGGUGUAACUGGAAGAAGAAAUGGUGAGUGGCCAUCUUUCCCUGAAAGAGUUUAUUUUGAAAGUCUAAUGUAGACAGUAAGCAUUCCCACUGAGGCUGCAUUGGUGCUGUGGCCAGUCCAUGGUUGUCCAAAUAACUCUGCUGAGGGUUCUUCUGCUGCCCAGUGCUUCCAUUGGCCUCUCAAUUGCUGGGCCUUGUCCUGGGGGCCCCGCUGGGGCUGCAGCCAGGGCU